rnacentral:rRNA from 1 species
GAUGAACGCUGGCGGCGUGCCUAAUACAUGCAAGUCGAGCGAACGGACGAGAAGCUUGCUUCUCUGAUGUUAGCGGCGGACGGGUGAGUAACACGUGGAUAACCUACCUAUAAGACUGGGAUAACUUCGGGAAACCGGAGCUAAUACCGGAUAAUAUUUUGAACCGCAUGGUUCAAAAGUGAAAGACGGUCUUGCUGUCACUUAUAGAUGGAUCCGCGCUGCAUUAGCUAGUUGGUAAGGUAACGGCUUACCAAGGCAACGAUGCAUAGCCGACCUGAGAGGGUGAUCGGCCGCACUGGAACUGAGACACGGUGCAGACUCCUACGGGAGGCAGCAGUAGGGAAUCUUCCGCAAUGGGCGAAAGCCUGACGGAGCAACGCCGCGUGAGUGAUGAAGGUCUUCGGAUCGUAAAACUCUGUUAUUAGGGAAGAACAUAUGUGUAAGUAACUGUGCACAUCUUGACGGUACCUAAUCAGAAAGCCACGGCUAACUACGUG